AGCGAACGCUGGCGGCAGGCCUAACACAUGCAAGUCGAACGCCCCGCAAGGGGAGUGGCAGACGGGUGAGUAACACGUGGGAACAUGCCCUUCGGUUCGGAAUAACACAGGGAAACGUUGUGCUAAUACCGGAUACGUCCGAGAGGAGAAAGAUUUAUCGCCGAAGGAUUGGCCCGCGUCUGAUUAGCUAGUUGGUGAGGUAACGGCUCACCAAGGCGACGAUCAGUAGCUGGUCUGAGAGGAUGAUCAGCCACACUGGGACUGAGACACGGCCCAGACUCCUACGGGAGGCAGCAGUGGGGAAUAUUGGACAAUGGGCGCAAGCCUGAUCCAGCCAUGCCGCGUGAGUGAUGAAGGCCCUAGGGUUGUAAAGCUCUUUUGCCCGCGACGAUAAUGACUGUAGCGGGAGGAAUAAGCCCCGGCUAACUUCGUG
rnacentral:rRNA from 1 species